GUGACGAGCUGCAGUGCCACGGUGCGCCGCGAGCGGCCGCCACUUGCGCGACCAACAAAAACAAUAACCACUAAUUAUUGCGAUUAUUAAACAAUACGGUUCGUGUACUCGCAACGCGAAAUGAUUAAGGGUGGUGAUGGCGGGUUCAAAAAUUCAAAUUUCGAACUUGUCAAAUUCGUGUAGAGAAUCUCUUGUCUAUAAUGUAUAAUCUAUAGUAUUAUGUCACAGUGUGUCUGAUUUAAUAAAAUUGUUAAAAAAAAGCGUGUAAAAGAAAAGGUAACUAUAGGUCAUUCUGCACCAAAUUGUCAAUUUUGAUUUAGAUACAUUUGGAUAUUAAUGUGACGUGUGUUUGUUCGAUAUCGGCUGUUGCCUAUGAUGAUUGUGCUAUUUUCCCGCUAAAAUUAUCCAAACAAUGUAGCCCUACAAGUUUCUUGUGUGCGCGAUUUAAAAUAAGUGAACUAUCUAAUGAAUUUAAAAAACUACUUUGUGUACAUAAUAAAAAUAAUCGUGAAAAUCAUAAGCAAUACUAAUACAUAAAAAAUAUAAAAUCAAGAGUCAAGGAAUUAUGUAGGUACCUACGUUUUAGGAAGACCUCAUCAAUAAUUCUAUUAUUAUUAAUCACUUAAUCCCAGUUAACCAACAGUUCAACUCUUUUUACUAGUUAUACUUUAUAUCUAUUCCUUUUUUUUUUUACUAGAUAAUACUUACCCCAUAAUAUAAAAUAUAAUUCUUAAACUUUCGUUUUAAAUAAUCAAAGCUACCUACAUGGAUUAUAAAAAGAGAAGCAUUGAGGACGGUUGAAAUUUUUCCUUAUUUUGACCAGACAACCAUGUGUGCCAAUUUUAUUUAUUAGUGUAAUUAAUAUACAUAAUGUUCACAUAGAUAAGUAGUGAUUUAAUGUAAAGAGAAUUUGUAAGUAAUUGGCGUAGAUACCUAUUACUAUAUUAUUCUAAUAGGCGAAGCGAUUUCUUGUUGGACCACAGCAUAAUAAUUUCACUAAACUAGAAUUAAUUUAAGAUUUUUAUUUUAGAGGUAGAUUUAGGCAAUAUCACCUCAGAAUUUAUCUGUUUCUCCAUACUUUGAUCAUGUAGACGAACUUACCUGUGAGCAUGAUAUAUGAUACGUUUUACAUAAUAACAUAUGGAAAUCUAAAAACAAUUUUUAUUUCUGUCAAAUUGUCAUUUUAGAAGAUAUUUUUAUCGACAGUGUAUAUAUAAUUUCCAGUGUUGUGGCAUAUUGAUAACGAAAAGCUGAUAGAUGUCAGGUGAUAAAUACUUAUAUAUUUUUAUCGCCUUAAAAUCGUAGCUAAAGAUUACAGCUACUUUUCAAUGGAAAUUUCAAAUAUUUGUUGUAAUAUUAAAAAUAAUUGCCGAAAAAAUUAAUAUUCUAUUAUCUAGGGAAAAUAUAGACUUCAGUUUCUUUUUUUUUUUUAAUAUACUAAACAAUAAGUAUUCCAGUAAAAACGUUUACAAUGAUUCGUUCCACUGAAGUAAGACAUCGUAAAUGAUAAAUAUCAGGUUUUUUAUAUACCCUAUAAUACUUUCUAGAUACACCAACAUUUUUCGGUUUGUUUAGAUACACAAUAAUAAUAAUAGUACCACCAAUACAAGACAGGCUAUAUUUUUUUACAAGGAAGAUGAAGACAAAUAACUUUACCGCCUGUUUCCUGAUUAACAGUUAACGUAGCCUACGAUCCAUGCAACAGCAAAGCUGUCAAUUGCAUCAGUUAAAAGGUAUUGACCCUUGGUACAUAAAAAUUGCAUCUCAAAAUAUACAGCAAUUUUAAGCCAUAUCUCAUUUCUCUAAUCAGACUAUAGUCAUAGAAACUUGCUUGGUGAAAAAUACUCAUUUAUGGCGACUUUUUGUAUAAUCUCAAUCAUAUACCUAAGUUAGCAAAAGUAUAUAAUUUCCAUUAAUAAAGUAUUAACUGUCUACAAGCAUCAGCUUUAAACAAAUUUAAUUGAUAAUAGGCACUAAAUACGUACCUACUUUAAAAGUAUAAAAUAUUAAAAUCUGUCGUAUUUUAAAGAUUCAAAUUGAGCUUAUGUAAAUUUUUGAAGUAAAGCGUUGAAAACGCAUUUAAUUACAUUUUGUUCCAUUACGUUUAAGUUACAAUUUUAUUAUUCUUUAUCUAUACGAUAUAUUCUUUCUAAUUUAAAUUUAGAGUGCAAAGAUUAGCUUAAUUCAACUAUUAUUCUUUAAUUAAUAGUAAUUUUUUAUUGCGAAACGUUGCAUAUUGAUUUCAGGUUAUUUUUGAGAUUCGCUUUGUGAGGAGUGUGGAUGUAAUUGAGGUGAGGUUGAGAUCUAUCAUAUAUGUUAUUUAUUAUUAAUUAUAAAUAUAAACAAUAAAGUAAUAAAAAAACAUAAAAACAAAAUACUAUGUCUUUCAAAUUACUUUAGAAAUCCGCUGAAAUAAAGUGAUCAUUGCCUUCGAGUAAAAUUAAAUUAAUGAACAUAAGUACGAAUCAAACCAUUAAAAUUCAGUUUGGUUAUUCAUACCAAACCAAAUAUUUUGAUGAACAUGGUCGGUCAACUUUCAAAAAAUUCCAAUACAUUCACUAUUAAUUAAGUUUAUGACAAGAAACUCAAGGGGCUUGACCUCAUCGAAUAAAUCAAUGACCAACUGGUCAACAAAUUAGUUGAUGCCAACACCUGUGUGGCUACAUAAUAACGUAAUGCAGCAAUUUAAAUUUAUUCCGGAUUUUGAACAUAAUUACACGAAAUGUGACAUUUAAGAAACCUAAAAAAUAAAAACCUGUCAUGUAAACUUAUCGCUGUUUGGUGUCGGGUGGUAAAAUACUCAAUGUCUAAUAAAUUUUCUCGAAUUUCGAAUUUCGAAUGGCGAUACGCGGGCCACCAAGUGGGUGUGGAUACGUCCAUUACCAUCUGUGUAAACGGUUUUCUCUCGAAUCGCCCAUUAUGUGAUCGUCGUAAUAUUCACAGAGUUUAUACGAAAAAGGUAUUUAAACACUACUAUUUAGAAACUAGCUUGAAAAUCAUUCCAAAGACGUCUAAGACUACAUUUGCGUGUUCCAAAUUCAUUAGUUACCACGUUUCUCAAUGAGUUACGUCGUUAAUUCAAUACCUUCGCUAAUAAUCGCUAGGUAAGAUGUUUUCGUAAAAUUUAUUUGACGUUGAGUCAUUGUAUAUUUUAGCAUAUUUAUGCGCGCAACAUAUUAUCUUCGUUUUUACAAGGAGGUACAUUUAAUAUUGUUUCUAACUCUGUAAUAUAUGUUACGGUUUGUUCAACUUUGUUUAAAUAUUCGCCAUACGAUAUAUCUUGUUAUAAUAAUCAGGGUACGUAUUUUAGUGUUGAUUCCGGAUACAUUGCAAAGAAUUAAAGAAUAUAAGUUUAAAAAAUGCAUAAAACAGUCUUUGUUUGUUAAAUUUUUAAUACUAUAACAUGAAAUUACUAUAAUGUAAUUCGUCAGAAGUAAAUUACACGUUUACAGAACGUUAACUCCUCAGGUAGAAACAUGAGCUAAAAUGACGGUCAAAUUAACCCAACAAUAUUCAAUGAUCCGUAAAUAUGUGCCUAUUAAUUAAUAAGAUCGAUUGACAUCAACCACUCGACUGUACAGCUGAUGCUGUUAUUUGAUUAUAUGUUUACCACGAAAUAGAAAAAAGCAGAAUGUUUUUGAUCAUAUUUAAGAAUCAACUUUUGGCUUGCGUUUAGUUACAAAGUCUAACACUGCAGCACUAUUGCAUUGCAUCGGCGAGCACGAGUAUUUCAGAGGAAACACAUGCGUUACGCGGCUCAACUAGCGAUGAUAUCCCGUCUCUUUCUAAUGCACGUUCAUAUUCGAUUCUCUCGCUCUACACGCACGAUCUGAUGCCAGUCGGUCGCGGUCCGCUCAUCACAUCCGUCGAGGUCGUAUACCUAGUGCAUAGAAGCUAGAUUGCCGUGUCGCGUAUUCAAAAUAGGAACGUUGGUAAUGGAUGGGAGCUGGUGUACGGUGGGGUUGAUGUGUGCGUGCGAGAGAACCAGCGACCCUCCCCCGCGCCUCCGCCCCCGCCCGCCGACGCCAACCGAGCGAGUGGCGCGCGUUUACACAAUCCGUUGGUUCGGAUCGCGGGUGAUGCUCGCGUCGCGUUGCGUCCUUCUCGUGACGACGAUUGACGUGCAAACACGUAUCGUCAAUUGUUUUUUUUUCUUACUUCUCAAAACUCAUACGACUUAAUUGCGCGAUCAAAGAGACUUCGGAAGUUCUCAUAAGAAUCUUUCUAGAUAAACUGCUAAUACUAUAGAUAUAUGAGUAAUCGUAUAUAUGUACAAAAAUAAAAAACAUAAACAAUAAAAAUAGAUAUUGGUGCAUCUGGAAAGUGACAAAUAAUUUUAAAGAUGCUCUAAAUUUUCAUAUGCUAACUAGGUUCUUACAUAUUUACAGAGUCAUUAGAAAUAAAAAAUAAUAUUGAUAAAUUUAUUAAAACAAAUUUAAAUAAAUAUAAUUUCACUCAAAUAACAACGAUAAUAAAUAAAGAAAAUAAGACUUGUGAAAAUGGAAUAUUGAAAAUAUAAGUGGCUAGAAGUGUUAAUAGUGACAGGAAAAAAUGGAGCAAGAAAAGGGCGCAAAUAUAAAGUGCCCUGGAAAUCACUGAAAUUAGACAAAAAAAAAUUUAUUCCAAAGCAUUCUAAUUCUACAGUGAAGUCAUCGCAUCCAUAAAAAGAUAUAACGAUGGAUGUUAAUAAUUCCCUACCUAUACCUAUCAUUUAAGGUUGUUAACCCGUACAUACCGCUGUUAAUUUGCAGUAAGCAUUUUCAAAUAUUUCUUUAUUAUAGUAUAAUCAUUACCAAUUUAUAAUUAAUUUAGUUUUUAACGCCUCCGAUGCCCGUUAUGCAUAUCGGUCGUAUACAGGCCCUAGAAGAGCGUCGGUUUCAUUGUCUUUCUGUCCGUCAUGAGUCACGCUAUUGUUGAGUUACACAAUAGAUGUCUUUGUGCAUUGUGCCUCGGGGACCCUGGUGUUACGUAUUUUGUAAUUAGUCGACGUCUAUUGGACUCGCUAAUGACACAUAUUGCUGUCCAUGCACGUAGUUACACCGCUAGGGUUACCGCCACUACAGAAUUGACCUAUUUUUUUCUUUAUUCGGAGAGUACCAUAGAUUUUAGAAUAUUUUACUGUUCAAUCAAACUAUUAUAUUUCUUUUUUUCGUAAAUGAUUUAAAUUAAUUCUUUCCUUACUAAUAUUAUAAAUGUAAAAGUAAGUUUAUUUGUUUGUUACUUACGAUUUGACUCCUCAACGGCUUAACUAAUUACAAUAAAAUUUGUUAUACGAUAUAGGACAGAGAAGGACAUAUGUUACUUUUUAUCCCGGGUACUUAGACGAAAUCGCUAGUUAAAGCUAGUAAACAAAGAUAUAGAAUGAAUGUGGCCGAAUUAAUAGUGGCAUAGAUCAUAGCCAUAUUUCUUUUUGUAGUAGGACAUCUAAACAUGUAUUGAACACUUGUCUAUCGCAAGUUUAAUUUUUUUUUUUUAUAAUAAGACGGAAACUGUUAAUUUUUAAAUUUAAUUUUUAAUUAAUCAUACUUUUUCCAGUCGAUGGAUAUAAUAAUGUAAUGAUCUACCACGAAUUAUUUUUUAUGUGAUACAGAGCAAAACAUCUCAUACGGCACGCGUUAUAGGGGAUCGCCCUUAAACAUCUCGCGUUUUGAACUACAAAGGGCAAAAAAUGUGAAAGGGCCAGAAUAUAAUAGAUAUGCGAAAACUCAAUCGUGUACGCUCCUAACAAUAAAACCCAAUGAGCGUGUUCGAAAUGCGAAUCGGCCAGUCGAUUAUAACCUUUCGACCAUUAACAAUAUGAAUUAUUUUUUUAAGCAUUUCGAAUUUAGAAUCCCCUUACCAAGUUCUAAGCGCGGGCAACUUGUAGGCGGGAAAAGUGGUCGUUCGUUUAGAUAUGUCAAAACAAAUUAGCAGUGUAUGUCCGUACAUGUGCGAAUGUGUGCACGUAUAGUGAGUAGCAGUAUUCUAUUUCCCUCCGAUUACGUAGGUGCGAAUAGGACAGCGAUAAUAAACGAAUAUUGAAUAUAAUUUAUGGCCGCAGUUUUCCCCUUUGGGCGUUUAAUCGAUGUGUGGGCUACGAAUAUGGAGUUUUAUAGUUGUCUUCAAAUAUUUAUAUUUAUGGUGUGUCCAUAAGAUUUUCUUUUUUUUUAAUUUCAUUAUUUACAUAAUAAUGAAAUUCUAGCAGAUGUUCUAAAACUAGUCAGUGUCUGUACUAAUAUUACAAAGAAGAAAUAUUGUUUUUUUGUAUGUUUGUUUAUUUGUUUGUAAUGGAUAAACGGAAGAACUACCCAACCAAAAUUUAAAAAAUUCCUCCAUCUAUAAAAAGCUAACGUUAUUAGCGAGUUAACAAACGCUAUAUAUUAUUUAAAAAAAAUACAGUUCCCUACGAAAAUUACAAUAAUGUAAUUCAAAGUAACAAACAUUUGCCUAUUAAAACUAAUUAAUAUAUAAUAUUAAUUUAUCAUUCUAUCUAUCUGCCCGUACGAAACCGGAGCAGAUCGCUAGUGUUAAAUAAUUUAAGCAAUAGCAAUUUCGGUCGAUCAAUCGCACAACUGUUUUCGACAACGAAAUUGCUGAGUAGUGUGUGUAAACCAUUUGUUAUUAUUCCCAUAAGGGUAUUUAUUAUACAUGAAUUGCUUUGAAUCUUUCUUUAGUAAGUAUCUUAUAACGCGAACCAACACGCGACCCUACAAAAACAGUCAAAUGAAAUUUGUAUUACUUCGAAAAAUCAAAUAUGUGGGCAAUUAUCUAGCUCCUAAGUCGAUUAUGUCCAAAAUUCAAAUAAUUUGUUUGGAAAAUGUUUACUUAUAAAACCUAUAAUUGGCCAUCUAUUUUUUUCUUUUUUUAUUAUCAUUAUUUUUUAUAGUAAAAUUGCAUAGCUGUUGAUUUUUCUGCAAUAUAAUAAAUAAAAGAUAUAGAAAAUAAACCAAAAGCCAAAUAAAAACAUGUAAGUAAUAAAAUAAUUUUAUUUAAUAUUAUUACUAGCAAUUUAAAACGAUAGUGCUCCAAACAUGGAACAAUGUAAAAAAAACACCUAAGUAGUUAAGUAACUCUGUUUUUUUUUUUAUAAUCAUUAAGAAUGUAAUUUAACACAACUCUAUUGGUAAAAUACGUAAUUAUGAAACAAUAAAUUACACAAAUCAAAAGCACCGCAAAAUCGAAUUAAAGAACUAAAAUUCGAAUUACGAAAUUGCUUAUAACUAAUUCAAAUAUCGAAUGAUGAGUCGAGUGGGUGGCGACGCGUUCGAUGAUGGGGUAAAAAUUACCCCCGGGGAUAAUUCGUGGGGUAUUCGCCCUAUGUGCCACGUAUGUGUGUGUUUGUGUGAAAGAGGGUAUGGUAAUAGUAUAUUUCCGUUGUCGUACGGAUCCCUCCAUUUGUAAUAGUUUAUGUGAAAUUUGCGAUUAUGGGCUCUUGAAGUGAGAUAUAUUUUAGAUCUGAUAUCACUGUACCUUUAUAUGGGAAUCGAUGUUCUCAGAGCUAUCAAAAAAGAAAAUAACUUUUCGAUUAGGUUUAAGUUUAUAAUUAUGUCGUUACUUUGUUACAUGGUAUUGAUUGCUUUUUUAACCGACUUCAAAAAGAAAGAGGUUCUCAAUCUGGUUAUUUUAUGUUUCGUCAUUAUCGUAUCAACUUUUAACUGUCCACUAUUGAAUGUAGUGGACAAUAUGGCUUUCCCCAUAAAGGGGAUUUAUCCAGUAAUUGCCACACUGGUCGCUUCUUACGACAGCCAUGGAUAAGCAAGGGGCGGUCCAUUCUAUGCCAGGACCACACGGAUUUUUUUACGUUUGUCUCCUCAUAACUCCAUCAGUUACAAACCGAUUUGGAAAAUUCUUUUUUUAUCUGAAAGGAUAUACUUUACAGAUUGAGGAUAUAUUUUUUUUUUCAAAUUCAGUUCAGUAGUCUUUAAAUAAAAAAGAGAACUGGUUUUGCUCGAAUUAAAAUAUUUUAUUGUUAUGGAACACAAUCUUAUAUUAUUUCUGCAUUUUUUUUUUAUAAAUUAUACAGUUAUAAAAUCGUU